rnacentral:rRNA from 1 species
UAGGGAAUCUUCCGCAAUGGACGCAAGUCUGACGGAGCAACGCCGCGUGAGUGAAGAAGGAUUUCGGUUCGUAAAACUCUGUUGUUAGAGAAGAACAGCGCAUAGAGUAACUGUUAUGCGGGUGACGGUAUCUAACCAGAAAGCCACGGCUAACUACGUGCCAGCAGCCGCGGUAAUACGUAGGUGGCAAGCGUUGUCCGGAUUUAUUGGGCGUAAAGCGAGCGCAGGCGGUCAAUUAAGUCUGAUGUGAAAGCCCCCGGCUCAACCGGGGAGGGUCAUUGGAAACUGGUUGACUUGAGUGCAGAAGGGGAGAGUGGAAUUCCAUGUGUAGCGGUGAAAUGCGUAGAUAUAUGGAGGAACACCGGUGGCGAAAGCGGCUCUCUGGUCUGUAACUGACGCUGAGGCUCGAAAGCGUGGGGAGCGAACAGG